CUGAGUACGGCGGAACACGUGAAAUUCCGUCGGAAUCCGGGAGGACCAUCUCCCAAGGCUAAAUACUCCCUAGUGACCGAUAGUGAACCAGUACCGUGAGGGAAAGGUGAAAAGCACCCCGGAAGGGGAGUGAAACAGUUCCUGAAACCGUGUGCCUACAAGUAGUUAGAGCCCGUUAAUGGGUGAUAGCGUGCCUUUUGUAGAAUGAACCGGCGAGUUACGAUUUGUUGCAAGGUUAAGCGGAAAAAGCGGAGCCGUAGCGAAAGCGAGUCUGAAUAGGGCGCAUAAGUAACAGGUCGUAGACCCGAAACCAGGUGAUCUACCCAUGUCCAGGAUGAAGGUAAGGUAAUACUUACUGGAGGUCCGAACCCACGCACGUUGAAAAGUGCGGGGAUGAGGUGUGGGUAGCGGAGAAAUUCCAAUCGAACUUGGAGAUAGCUGGUUCUCUCCGAAAUAGCUUUAGGGCUAGCCUCGAGGUAAAGAGUCAUGGAGGUAGAGCACUGUUUGGACUAGGGGCCCUUCUCGGGUUACCGAAUUCAGAUAAACUCCGAAUGCCAUGUACUUAUACUCGGGAGUCAGACUGCGAGUGAUAAGAUCCGUAGUCGAAAGGGAAACAGCCCAGACCACCAGUUAAGGUCCCCAAAUAUAUGUUAAGUGGAAAAGGAUGUGGGGUUGCUUAGACAACCAGGAUGUUGGCUUAGAAGCAGCCACCAUUGAAAGAGUGCGUAAUAGCUCACUGGUCGAGUGACCCCGCGCCGAAAAUGUACCGGGGCUAAACAUAUUACCGAAACUGUGGAUGAACCUCUUUAGAGGUUCGUGGUAGGAGAGCGUUCUAAGGGCGGUGAAGUCAGACCGGAAGGACUGGUGGAGCGCUUAGAAGUGAGAAUGCCGGUAUGAGUAGCGAAAGAAGGGUGAGAAUCCCUUCCACCGAAUAUCUAAGGUUUCCUGAGGAAGGCUCGUCCGCUCAGGGUUAGUCGGGACCUAAGCCGAGGCCGAUAGGCGUAGGCGAUGGACAACAGGUAGAGAUUCCUGUACCAGUGCUAAUUGUUUAACCGAUGGGGUGACACAGAAGGAUAGGGAAUCGCACGAAUGGAAAUGUGCGUCCAAGCAGUGAGUGUGAGAAGUAGGCAAAUCCGCUUCUCGCGAAGCAUGAGCUGUGAUGGGGAAGGAAAUUAAGUACGGAAGUUCCUGAUUUCACGCUGUCAAGAAAAGCCUCUAGGAAGAGUAGUACUGCCCGUACCGCAAACCGACACAGGUAGAUGAGGAGAGAAUCCUAAGGUGAGCGAGAGAACUCUCGUUAAGGAACUCGGCAAAAUGACCCCGUAACUUCGGGAGAAGGGGUGCUCUAUUAGGGUGCAAGCCCGAGAGAGCCGCAGUGAAUAGGCCCAGGCGACUGUUUAGCAAAAACACAGGUCUCUGCAAAACCGUAAGGUGACGUAUAGGGGCUGACGCCUGCCCGGUGCUGGAAGGUUAAGAGGAGUGCUUAGCUUCGGCGAAGGUACGAAUUGAAGCCCCAGUAAACGGCGGCCGUAACUAUAACGGUCCUAAGGUAGCGAAAUUCCUUGUCGGGUAAGUUCCGACCCGCACGAAAGGCGCAACGAUCUGGGCACUGUCUCAACGAGAGACUCGGUGAAAUUAUAGUACCUGUGAAGAUGCAGGUUACCCGCGACAGGACGGAAAGACCCCGUGGAGCUUUACUGCAACCUGAUAUGGAAUGUUUGUACCGCUUGUACAGGAUAGGUAGGAGCCGAAGAGACGUGUGCGCUAGCAUACGAGGAGGCAAUGGUGGGAUACUACCCUGGCUGUAUGACCAUUCUAACCCGCCACGCUUAGCGCGUGGGGAGACAGUGUCAGGUGGGCAGUUUGACUGGGGCGGUCGCCUCCUAAAGAGUAACGGAGGCGCCCAAAGGUUCCCUCAGAAUGGAUGGAAAUCAUUCGCAGAGUGUAAAGGCACAAGGGAGCUUGACUGCGAGACUGACAAGUCGAGCAGGGACGAAAGUCGGGCUUAGUGAUCCGGUGGUUCCGCAUGGAAGGGCCAUCGCUCAACGGAUAAAAGCUACCCCGGGGAUAACAGGCUUAUCUCCCCCAAGAGUCCACAUCGACGGGGAGGUUUGGCACCUCGAUGUCGGCUC
rnacentral:rRNA from 1 species